UAAGUACGUGCCUAAGAAAGGUGAAACCGCGAAUGGCUCAUUAAAUCAGUUAUGGUUCCUUAGAUCGUACCUUACUACUUGGAUAACUGUGGUAAUUCUAGAGCUAAUACAUGCAGCAGAGCUCCGACCUUCGGGGACGAGCGCUUUUAUUAGACCAAGACCAAUCGGACCUCGGUCCGAAGCUCAUGGUGACUCUGGAUAACUUUGGGCUGAUCGCACGGUCUCGUACCGGCGACGCAUCUUUCAAGUGUCUGCCUUAUCAACUUUCGAUGGUAGGUUAUGCGCCUACCAUGGUCGUAACGGGUAACGGGGAAUCAGGGUUCGAUUCCGGAGAGGGAGCCUGAGAAACGGCUACCACAUCCAAGGAAGGCAGCAGGCGCGCAAAUUACCCACUCCCGGCACGGGGAGGUAGUGACGAAAAAUAACAAUACGGGACUCUAUUGAGGCCCCGUAAUUGGAAUGAGUACACUCUAAAUCCUUUAACGAGGAUCUAUUGGAGGGCAAGUCUGGUGCCAGCAGCCGCGGUAAUUCCAGCUCCAAUAGCGUAUAUUAAAGUUGUUGCGGUUAAAAAGCUCGUAGUUGGAUCUCAGUUCCAGACGGGUGGUCCACCCCUGGUGGCUACUGCCUGGCCUGAACAAAUCCAGCCGGUUUUCCUUGAUGCUCUUCACCGAGUGUCUUGGGUGACCGGCACGUUUACUUUGAAAAAAUUAGAGUGCUCAAAGCAGGCGUGACGCCUGAAUAAUGGUGCAUGGAAUAAUGGAAUAGGACCUCGGUUCUAUUUUGUUGGUUUUCGGAACACGAGGUAAUGAUUAAGAGGGACAGACGGGGGCAUUCAUAUUGCGACGCUAGAGGUGAAAUUCUUGGACCGUCGCAAGACGAACUACU
rnacentral:rRNA from 1 species